rnacentral:lncRNA from 1 species
CCCCAGUCGGUGACAGUAACCAUGGCUUCCAGUUCCUGUCCUGCUCUUCACUCCUUAACAUUUUCUUCCUUCUUCAGCCGUAAGAAUCUUUAUUUGCUUAUUUACCUAUCUGUUUCUUUUGCUCUUUUGUCUUGUCUUUCUUAAUUAUUUCUUUCAUAAAUUUUCUUUUCCCUCUUAGACCAUACUGAUGAACUUUGGAACUACAUUCCAAUUUCUCCUUUCUUCUUCCAGUUUUCGCUUGGUAUGUGCUACAUUUUCGAGUUCUGCUGAUUUUUUUUCACACUCGCUUGCUUUGCUUGUUGCAGCUGUUUGUUGUUUGUUGCACCUCUUUGUUGGUAAUGGGUAUUUGGUGACUCUCUCUUAUGUACUAUUAUUCUUUUGGAAUAUUUUUUCCACUGUGUACAUCUGUUUUUGACAUAUAUAUUUGGUUUUUUCCUGCAUAGGUUUAAACACGAUUUGGGCAUAUUGAAUUAACAUCUGGAACGAAAAUGACAUAAAAACAGACAAGAGCAUUGUUGCAGCCAAGGUGUUUGACAAUAUGCC